rnacentral:lncRNA from 12 species
GGAACAAAAGGGGGACGUGUUUCUCCAGAGGCACCCAUCACUCAUUGUGUACCAUUCACUUUUAGAUUUGCUUCUUAAUGGUCCUGAGGCAAAACUGUCUGGUUGCACAGAUGUUAAUUAUUCGAGACUACUCUUAAUUAGUUGUGUGAGUUAUUCAUUCUGGAACCAUGACAAAAAAACCUCAGCCGCUUUGGUCCCUAAAGACAUAACCCCAGGAGCUUUCUAGGAGUUGGGUUUAUGACCCCUCCCCCGUGUCUCUCUCCCUUCUUGAACCAGAACAUUUCAGCUCACAGAGGCCACCCCCCAUGGGGACCUUUAAAAUUAAAUGCUCAAGAUGUACAUGAUUUUUAAAAGCCCCUUGCACAUACAUCCAAGCUAAAAGCUUCAGUGUUGCUGCCCAGUGAAAUUAUUUAGCCUCAGAUCAAAUGGCAUUGAGGAGGACGUGGUCUUCUCUGACUGUGAGCUGACCAUUCAUUUUCCUUUGACUUGCAAUUUCCCUUGCUCCGGUGAUUUGCACAUUGCGCCGUGCAGUGUAUUAAGCGUGUUGGCUGCCUUCACGAUCAUCUAAAUAAUUAAAGCUUUAUUGAGGAGAGCACUAUACAGAUUAGUGCAUUAAAUACUAAUCUGCUUGUUCAUUACAGUCUCCUACACACACAAAAUUGCGAGGUGGGUAUGCCCGGGCUCAUAUUAAAUUACCCGUUCCUCCUAGAAUACUCAUCUGGACAAAGAUGGUUGCAUAGAUGGUCAUUUGGUAAGAGAUUAUUGGAAGACAUUGCUGCUCUGUGAAUCUGGGAUCCCGCUUUUCCUGAACAGAACAAUUGAUAGCAACGAAGCUUCCUUCACACUGAAGACCAGCUCCAGGCAGGAAGAAAUGAAGCACUCCAGGAUUCAGGGGAUAUGUCCGAUGUCUCCAUAAACACCUGUUACUGUUCUCAGUUUACCUGGUCCCUAAGAAACCAUCCUAAUGGGACUUCAUUCGUUACUGAUGUACAUACAGAAUUCAACACCUGCAGCCAGCCUGAAGACUUCAGGGUUGCAACACUGUGCUUUACCACCUAG